UGGGGAAUUUUGGACAAUGGGCGAAAGCCUGAUCCAGCAAUGCCGCGUGUGUGAAGAAGGCCUUCGGGUUGUAAAGCACUUUUGUCCGGAAAGAAAUCCUUGGCUCUAAUACAGUCGGGGGAUGACGGUACCGGAAGAAUAAGCACCGGCUAACUACGUGCCAGCAGCCGCGGUAAUACGUAGGGUGCAAGCGUUAAUCGGAAUUACUGGGCGUAAAGCGUGCGCAGGCGGUUUGCUAAGACCGAUGUGAAAUCCCCGGGCUCAACCUGGGAGCUGCAUUGGUGACUGGCAGGCUAGAGUAUGGCAGAGGGGGGUAGAAUUCCACGUGUAGCAGUGAAAUGCGUAGAGAUGUGGAGGAAUACCGAUGGCGAAGGCAGCCCCCUGGGCCAAUACUGACGCUCAUGCACGAAAGCGUGGGGAGCAAACAGGAUUAGAUACCCUGGUAGUCCACGCCCUAAACGAUGUCAACUAGUUGUUGGGGAUUCAUUUCCUUAGUAACGUAGCUAACGCGUGAAGUUGACCGCCUGGGGAGUACGGUCGCAAGAUUAAAACUUAAAUGAAUUGACGGGGUCAUAGCUGUUUCCU
rnacentral:rRNA from 1 species